rnacentral:lncRNA from 10 species
CCAGCCUGGUUAACAUAGCGAGACCUUGUCUCUACAAAAAAUAAAAAAAUUAGCCAGGCGCAGUGGUGCACCUGUAGUCCUAGCUACUCAGGAGGCUGGGGACGCUGGGGUAGAAGGAUGUACUCAGAUUUAGUACAAUUUUGUAGAAAGGGUGUAAGCAGUAGUUCAGCACUAGGAUGUUUCAUGCCUAAUGAAUUGCAUGAAUCGAAUGGUACCCUGGGAACCAUAGGUUAGUUACUCACCAUCAAAUUUGUUUUCUGAAUUAAUUUUUUUUCUUUUUCUUUUUUUGAGACAAGGUCUCGCUGUGUUGCCCAGGCUAGUGUUGAACUCCUGAGCUCAAGCGAUCCUCCUGCCUUGGCCUCUCAAAGUGCUGGGAUUAUAGGUGUGAACCACCACACUGGGCCUGUUUUCUGAAUUAAUUAUUUUUAUUUAAAGGACUACACGAAGGCCAAUUUCUCUGGAGUUUAUCUCUUAAGAAACAGUAUAUUUGCAAAAUGCUUAGUUUUAGGAAUUUAUACACAUUUCCCCCAUUUUGACUUAAAUUUUGACUAUUUAGGAAACAUUAGAAUUCUUACUCUGUACCAGGCACUGUUCAAUGCACUUUACAUAAUAAUCUUUACAAUAACCCCAUGGGAUAGAUAGUAUUAUUCUCAUUUUACCAUUGGCAGGAGGGGGAGGAGUAGGCCCGGAGAAAUUAAAUUGUGUGCUUCAGGUUUCACAGCCAGGAGUUGGAAGAGCAGGAAGUCCAACUGGCAUCUGCUUUCAGGGUCCACGCUUCACCACCGCAUGGCACUCCCCUUCCCU